rnacentral:lncRNA from 1 species
CCUUCUUCCUGGAGCAUUUGGGAACACUGAGGACAGCCAUCAUGUGCCUCUCCUUCCCCUCUAGUCUCUUCAGUGUGCAACAUCUCCAGUUCCUUUAGGUGCUCUUCUGGACUCUGAAUUAUGGUAAGGUGCUUGCCAGGACAGACGUACUCCAAAAGGCAUGACUCAUAAUAACCCCAAACUGCAAACAUCCCAAAGUCCACCAACAGUAAAUGGACAAAUUGUGAUACAUUCAUAUGACUGAAUACUACACAGCAAUGAAAACUACACCUAUUCCAAAUAUUGACGAAUCUCACAAUGUUAACAUGAAAAGAAUACAUGAUUCCAUUUAUAUAAAGUUCAAAUGCAGACAAAAUUAAAUGACACUGCUAGAAGUCAGAAUGGUGGUUACCUGUGGGAAGAAAGGAAGUAGCAGUGAUUGGGAGGAGUAUAAAGGAGAAGCUGGGGUCUUUCCAAGAAGGGAAACUUCCAGAAGAAGAAAAUAAAAAUUGUUUCCUUCUCUUGGAGCUCCUGGAUGAGGUGGAUGCUGGCUUCUGCUAUCAGUCAGAUGUCCAGUCUGGCUCUCACCAAGGGCCCAAGGGAAAGCAGGAGGAGAACAAUUAGACAGGAGUAUUUCACCACUAAAAAAGGCUUUUAUUACAAAAUGAAUUCUAAUAAAACCAGGCCUGGUCUUCAACCCCUCCCG